GAAUGCAUUCAUUAGUGACAAAAGUAUACAAUUAUAUAAAAUUUGUAUUAAUAGGAUAUUGUGUUAUAGUUAUUAAGUUUAAUUAUAAUUUAUUAAGAUUAUUAAACUUUAUUUAAUCAAUAUACGUUUGUUUAAUUAUUAUUAUACAAAAAUUGAAUAUUUUUAUGACAGAUUAUCGUUUGAUUGGAGGUUUGAAAGCGGAAUAAAUUUUAAAAGUAUAAAUUUUGCACAUACAAUGAUAAUUGAGAGAUAAUGCAACAACAUUCGUGCAGAUAUGUCACGUUGUUUCUCAUUUCUGUACUUUUGCACUUCUUCAUUUUACAUAAUUUAAAAAAUUGCUUUCUAAACUUACUGCUCAUUAAAUUAUAUAAUAUAGGAUCAAUAGCACUAUCUGGAGAAAUAACAAUAUAAAAGAUCAGAAUCCUAUAAGGUGAUAAACAGAUGAAGAAGCUAAUAACUACCGUUAAUAACAUAAUAAUUACAUGUUUUUUCGUUUUAAUAUGAUAAGAAUCGCUGAUAUUAUUGGAAUCGGGCAUCAAUUGUCUGAUGAUGAAUGUGUAUAAAAUCAACAAGAUUAUUAAUGGUGCAAGAUAGAACAGAAGCACCAAAAGUAAAAAGAAUAUCAUGCUGGCGUUAGUAUCGACCGUUGUUAGACAAACCGGAACCAAAUUCCUUGCGUCGUGAUCCUUCCUGUUUUCCUUAAUGCGCAUCUCCUGGUAUUGAGAAACCCAGAUUAUAGGACUGUAAUCAAUUAAAGUAAAAUUGUCUCGUAACUGAUAAAAUUAAAAGUAAUUUUCGAUGCCUUCAAGCCGAAAAUCAGAAGUCGAACAAAAAAAUGGCAAUUUGCAGAGUAAGCAAUUUUUAGCCCCUAAACCGACUGAAUUUGCAAAAAAAAAUUUGCCUUGUAAGCUCGAUGAAGAUUCUAAUUCUUAUUGAAAUUCUAUUAUGAAUAAGAUAUGCAUAUAUAUAUAUGUAGCCUCUUAUAAAAAGCUUCUUUUUUCAUAGAAAAAAACUUAUCGUUUUUGAUAUCAUAACAUAUGGUACUCAAUUCAAUGUUGAAUAAUAUUGAAGAUCAAUAAUUUAAAUUAAAGAAUAUAAUCAGAAUAAGAAGAUGAAAAAUAUUUGAAGUAAUUUAUCUACUAAUGAUUUGAUUACAAAAAUAAAAGAACAUUUCAGAGCAAAUUUCAACUUAAUUUCAAUUGGAAAAAGAAUUAUAAUAAAAAUUCCGAAAAAAUUCUUAUUAUAAAUUCAAUAAUGUGUGAAAUUUUAUAAAAAUUAAGAAACUUUUUUCAUUGUAAAUUCUAGAUUUAAAAAUAUAUAAACUGAAUAAAAAAAAUAAAAAGUUAAAGAUUCUUUUUUUGCACAAAAGAAUUCAUUAUUUUGAACUAUGAUAUGAUGUAUUAUGAAAAAAAUUUGAAAAAAUAUUAUUUUUAAUUAAAGAAUAAUAUUUAUGCCAAUGCAUUAAUAUUAUAAAAAUAGAAAACACUUGAGAGUUUUAAUGCAUUUUCAUUCUAAAAAACAUUUAAAAACUUUUCCAAAUUUUUUAUUCAGAAUAAAAAAUAAAAAGUCUAUUUUGUAUUUCUUUUAUAUGCUUAAACAAUUCAAAGUGGAAUUGAAUGCAAUAUUGUCUCAUCGAACUUUCUACAUUUUUGUUUAGACAAACAAAAAUAAUAAUCAAAGUUAAUUAAAAAUUAUUUAUUCCUUUCGUAAUCUCUGAAUUGAAAUUAUUGAAUUGAUGUCUUGCAUCUAUAACACAUUGCAGAAUUCAUUUUUGAAUUGUGGAGUAACAAAUUAUAUUGCGAUAAUAAAGAUUAAUACAAAUAACGAUCAAUGAGAAUUUUAUUGUUAGAGAGAAAUUGGGUCAACGAUUGCAAUAAAUUUCUUCAUUACAUACUAUACAUAGAAGAUACUUCAGCAUAAAAAUGAAACGUAUUUGAGAAUUCAAGAAACUAAGUAUGUAAUUCUUGCAAAGAGAUCUUAUAGAUCUGAUAGAGAGGAUUUCUGGAUGAUUGAUCAAUAGUACCGUGUUGCAGAACCGUAUUCGAAUAAUUGGAAUUUCAUUCAAGAAGUUUUCUUCUCUAGAAGUUACAUCUUGCUGACAUUUAUCUUGCUUUCGUGUCUUGAUAAAUUAGAAGGUUUUAUAUAUCGCGAUGUUGAGUAUUUGAGUUGCGAAAAUGUUAGAUCAAGAGGAAAUUAAAAAAUAGCGAAGAACGAAAAGAUAAGAAGAAAAAAAAAUCGAGAAGCAAACGAAAGCAUAAUAUGCGUCAGCUGUGAGAAAUGCUAAUCAUUCGUUUCAUUCUCUUACCUGGUGCAAAGCGCUGCCACAAUCCACGCCACGAAACAAAGAAAUGUCGCUCUAGCCUUUGUGCACAUAUAUCUCUGAUAGAGACUUUCAACAUUAGACCGAUUGAAAUCGUCUACAAGAAAAUUACUGGAUUUGAAAGGAAAGUCGACACGUCUCAUAAGGAAGUGUUGCAGAGCAAGUUUCACCAAGAGGAUCCUGUUAGAGGUAGAGGCGCCUUUUCCAUUCUAUUUCCUGCCACGAAGGUUAAAGAGAAUUGGAUAGAAAGCGACAGUACAAGAAGGUGUAGCAUUAAAUGCCUCAGCCUCUAAGAGCAACGGUAAUUCUUGGCGGGGGGUAGGAGUUCAGCUGCUCGUUUCACCCAGCCAUCAACCUUGUCCACCGCAUCGUACUUGGGCCAAAUAUGUACUCUCCACCUUGCCCUAGCCUCGUCCACAGAAGUUCUCAAAGCCUUCUCUCGAAACGAAUAAAACGAACUGAUUGGACGACGCUUAUUUAAUUAAGGAUUCCAGCUUAGAAUUUGUUCUUACGAUUUAUCUUUAGGAUUGAUCUCCUUGCAACCGUCAGUUGGCGCUACUUGUCAACUGGAGAGGAACGUGAAGUUAGUCACAUUUACACUUUGAAUGAUAAUUUCAUAGAAAGCUAGAGAAUCCAAAUUAUUAAGUUUUCAAUUAUUUCAUAUUAUGAAAUAAGCAAUAAUUGUAGGAAUAUUAACUUAAAUGGAGAUUAUCUCGAGAUAAUUUCAAGCAACUUUCUUUUUGAAAUAUCUUCAUUUCAGCUUUGCUAAUAAUAUAAAAUAACAAUAUAAUAAACAUAAAGGAAAUAAAACAAUAUAUUUUACAAAAUUUAAAUUAUUCUUUGUUACUGAAUUAUGAUAUCGGUAUAAUAUAGAAAUAAUUAAAUUAUGCACGAAUUUAAACGAAUUUUCUUAACAUUUUCACUGCAAGUGAAAUUAGAAUUAUUAGUCAAAAGCAUAGACAUGGUACUUCCUUUCUGUUAAUGGAAUAAUUAUUUCAAGAAAAGAUACUGUGUGGAAAUAAGAAAAUUUUGAAGACCAAUGAAUCGUCAAACGAAAUUAUGAUCUGAAUAUCGUCCAUCGUCAUUGAAACAUUUAAUAUAUUUUUUUAAAUGAUUGCAAAGCUGAUUAUAUUGUUUGUUCUGAUUGAAUAUCUAUUUUAUCGUGAAUUUAUAUACUAAUUCUCUAUAAAUUCCACAAAUAAUACCAAUUGUUGAUCGAAAUGAAAUUUCAUGGGGACAAAGAAUGGAUGCGAAAUAUAAAAUCAUAUUUUUAACGAAAAUAUGAUUUCUACUUUAUAUGUUCAAAAUGUAUAAAUUUUCAUAUAUAACAAAUGUUCAUUAUCAAACUCUUUAGCAAUUAAUGAUGUUAUAACAAUGUAAACAAUAUAAACAAUAACAAAAAUUAUUAAUCAAUUAGUAACACAGAAAAUUAAUCAACGAUUCCAUGAAUAUUAUGAGUUUAUAGAUACAAAACAUGAUUAGACAUAUAUUAAUUGUAUUUAAUAAUCAAUAUUAGUAUCUUUUCAAUAGAUAUGAAUUGUUUAAUGAUACUCUAUGACAUCUAUUUACAAAGAUACUGUAUAAUUUCAAAACUAUAUUGGAUUUUCGUUUCUAUUUUUGUUCAGGAACGAUAGUUCUUGAGAACUUGAAACACAAUAACGAGGACAGAAUUUUUCUACCCUCUUUAAUCUUUAUACAAAUAUUUUUUCUCGAGUAUAAGAUUUUCUUAUAUUCACAAUAUUUCUUUUAAAAUAACGAAAUUGUAUACUUUAAUUAAUAAAGAAAAAAAUUUUUUUUUUUCUUUUUCACUUUUGAAUUGAUUUCCGCUUCAAAAUUCUGAUAAAAUCAAUGAUAAAUAUUUUGAUUAUAUCUUCUAAUGAUCAAUAAUAUCUAUAAUAAUUUCAAGAACUUGUGGAAGUUAAAGAAUAUUUCUCUUCUUUUGUAUAUAUUAUUAAAUUAAAUUAAAUUAAAUUUAAAAAAUUAAGUAUAAUUUAA